AAGGUUAAAACUCAAAUGAAUUGACGGGGGCCCGCGACAAGCGGUGGAGCAUGUGGUUUAAUUCGAUGCAACGCGAAGAACCUUACCUGGUCUUGACAUCCACAGAACUUUCCAGAGAUGGAUUGGUGCCUUCGGGAACUGUGAGACAGGUGCUGCAUGGCUGUCGUCAGCUCGUGUUGUGAAAUGUUGGGUUAAGUCCCGCAACGAGCGCAACCCUUAUCCUUUGUUGCCAGCGAUUAGGUCGGGAACUCAAAGGAGACUGCCAGUGAUAAACUGGAGGAAGGUGGGGAUGACGUCAAGUCAUCAUGGCCCUUACGACCAGGGCUACACACGUGCUACAAUGGCGCAUACAAAGAGAAGCGACCUCGCGAGAGCAAGCGGACCUCAUAAAGUGCGUCGUAGUCCGGAUUGGAGUCUGCAACUCGACUCCAUGAAGUCGGAAUCGCUAGUAAUCGUGGAUCAGAAUGCCACGGUGAAUACGUUCCCGGGCCUUGUACACACCGCCCGUCACACCAUGGGAGUGGGUUGCAAAAGAAGUAGGUAGCUUAACCUUCGGGAGGGCGCUUACCACUUUGUGAUUCAUGACUGGGGUGAAGUCGUAACAAGGUAACCGUAGGGGAACCUGCGGUUGGAUCACCUCCUUACCUUAAAGAA
rnacentral:rRNA from 1 species